CCGGCAGCCUUAGAGAAUGAGGGCCUUAAUUAUCCACAGAAGAGGUACAGCACGGACGGCACCAGUGCAAGUUCCCUCGCCGAAACGUUUAUUUUAUUCCCCGAGCUGGAUUGAGCCCUUCAAGGAUUAGAAAACACUUUAAUCUCAGUGCUUCUGCGGUCUGCAGCCUUG
rnacentral:sRNA from 1 species